GGGCUAUUGGUCUAGGGGUAUGAUUUUCGCUUCGCAUCGCUCAUCUGAGUCAGAUACGCUUGUGAAAGGUCACCGGUUCAAAUCCGGUAUAGUCCA